ACCUUUGGGAUGUAUUCAGUAAAUGGAUUAUAUGGACUAAAUGGAUUAUAUUGAUUGGAUAUUUUUCUCAAUUUAUCAAUGCUAAACUCCACAGUUGGGUUGAUUCUUGGUUAGCAUGUCUCUCAACAGUCCUGCUUUUGGAAACCUGAUUUUGGGGUCCUGUUCUGUGCCAAUAACCUGCUUCAGUUCCUUGAUGUUGUGCAUCCAGGGACACCAAGCAACUGUCCCCAG